rnacentral:lncRNA from 1 species
UACGUAUCUGAACUCUAAAUGGGUCAACAUCCAGGCCAAUCAAUGAGUCAAAGAUAUGCGUAAUCAGUCAAUCCAUUACAACUAUGGUCAUUGGUCAUACUACAAGGCGGCGAUUGCAUUAUCGGGAGUUUAAAACACCUACAAUAACAUACAACAAAUCAAAAUACUUUAACGAACCAAAAUAACAAAAACAAAGAAGAAGAAAAAUGGAAGCAAGUAAAAGGAGGAAAGUAAUCAUGUACCCGUUACCGUUUCCGGGACACUUGAACCCAAUGAUCCAACUCGCCAGAAUAUUUCACCACCGUGGCUUCUCCGUCACGAUCC